rnacentral:rRNA from 1 species
GAUGAACGCUAGCGGCAGGCUUAACACAUGCAAGUCGAGGGGCAGCACGGACUUCGGUCUGGUGGCGACCGGCAAACGGGUGCGGAACACAUACACAAUCUACCUUUAUCUGGGGUAUAGCCCGAAGAAAUUCGGAUUAAUCCCCCAUAAUAUAUUAGAGUGGCAUCACUUCGAUAUUAAAACUCCGGUGGAUAAAGAUGAGUGUGCGUCCCAUUAGCUAGUUGGUAGGGUAACGGCCUACCAAGGCAACGAUGGGUAGCGGGUGUGAGAGCACGACCAGCCACACGGGCACGGAGACACGGGCCCGACUCCUACGGGAGGCAGCAGUGAGGAAUAUUGGUCAAUGGACGCAAGUCUGAACCAGCCAUGCCGCGUGAAGGAUGAAGGCCUUCUGGGUUGUAAACUUCUUUUAUUGGGGAAGAAAAUUACGGUUUCUACUGUAACCGACGGUACCCAAGGAAUAAGCACCGGCUAACUCCGUGCCAGCCGCCGCGGUAA